CAGAGAGUAGUUUAAUGAGAAUAUCAGCUUUGGGUGCUGAUGGUGGGACUUUGGGGUCCUCUCUUUGA
rnacentral:tRNA from 1 species